AUCCUUUUGUCGUUCAUGAGCAUGACAAUUGGGUGUUUUCACGCAGCGUGUGAGAUGUGCCACCCUGGAACCUUGUUACGACGUCGCACAUUACCUGUCUGACC
ensembl:snoRNA